rnacentral:lncRNA from 1 species
GUUAAAUGCGUAUGUUUUUCAUUCCUCUUUACAUUAAAAUAUAUUAGGUUUUUCAACCUAUAUCAUCUAUCUAUAAAUACAAUAACAAGUAAGCACGGAAGUCAUCAGACAUGUAGUAGAUUAUUUAGAAUGAGAUAUAUGCGUGGUAAUGAUGGUAUUAUGAAGAACAAGGGUGUACAGAAAGGAAUGGCCAUCAUGUAAAUAUAUGAAAACAACACCACAAAAGGAGUUUGGUAAACACAACAAGUUUACUAAGAUUAAAAGCUUUGCACAUUUGUCAUUUCGGGGC